rnacentral:rRNA from 1 species
GUUAGGAAUAUUGGACAAUGGGCGAAAGCCUGAUCCAGCCAUGCCGCGUGAACGAUGAAGGCCUUCGGGUUGUAAAGUUCUUUAGCCGAUGAUUAUAAUGACUGUAGUCGGAAAAUAAGCCCCGGCUAACUUCGUGCCAGCAGCCGCGGUAAUACGAAGGGGGCGAGCGUUAUUCGGAAUCACUGGGCGUAAAGCGUGCGUAGGCGGUUUUGUAAGUUAGGAGUGAAAGCCCAGGGCUCAACCUUGGAAUUGCUCUUAAAACUGCAAGGCUCGAAUCUCGGAGAAGAUAGCGGAAUUUCCAGUGUAGCAGUGAAAUGCGGAGAUAUUGGAAGGAACACCAGUGGCGUAAGCGGCUAUCUGGACGAGUAUUGACGCUGAGGCACGAAAGCGUGGGGAUCAAACAGGAUUAGAAACCCGAGUAGUCC